GCACCCGUAGCUCAGCCGGAUAGAGCGCUGCCCUCCGAAGGCAGAGGUCACACGUUCGAAUCGUGUCGGGUGCGCCA
rnacentral:tRNA from 1 species